CGGGUGUUUCUACAAGACAGUGUGCAGAUUUUUCCUUAAGGAAAAAAAAGACGUUUCCUAGAUAAUCCUUCAGUUUAACUAAAGCCUUAGGUACAGGACUUUUGCUCUGACAUACAUUUUCACCACGAUCUUAAAUGAGGCAGAAACUCUUAGGAUUUCGGACCCGAUACUUUCUUCUCUCUCAGUCAGCACAAUUUCAGUUAAUAAUAGGAACCGAUGGGAGAAAAUUUGGGAAAUGUAAGGAAAACAGAAAUGGCGAGUGUGUCCCACCCGGAGAGAACGCAGAGAGUGCCCACGUUUCUCCUUCCAGGUGUAUGUGCCCACUAGAGAUGAAAUGACACGUCUGUGCAAAUCCUUGCACACGCGUGUUCCCAGCAGCUUCCUCCAUGAUUGCCGAAGACUGGGAACAACACAAAAAUCCAUCCACAGACUAAGGGAUCAAUAAAACGGGGAUCCAUCCAGACAGUGGAAUAUUAGUCGGCCAGGAAAAGGAGGGAGGCGCUGACACUCGCUGCAACAUGGAGAAACCUUGAGGACACGAUGCUCAGCGAGUGACAGACGCCAGACACCAAGGCCACCCAGCGUGUGACUCCAUUUACGGGAAACGUCCAGCACAGGCUCCUCCACAGACAGGAAGUGGGUGCGUGUUUCCCUGGGGUUGGGGACUUAGCGACACGAUCACUGACGACUGUGGCGUUUCUCUUUGGGGUGAUGAAAUGCUUUGGAAUGGAUUCUGGUGACGACGGCACAACCCUGUGAACACACUAAAAA